rnacentral:piRNA from 1 species
ACGGAGUGACAAAGCUGUUUCUAGGGCCGG